rnacentral:rRNA from 1 species
UACAGAGGGUGCAAGCGUUAUCCGGAUUCACUGGGUUUAAAGGGUGCGUAGGUGGGCAGGUAAGUCCGUGGUGAAAUCCCCGAGCUUAACUCGGGAACUGCCGUGGAUACUAUUUGUCUUGAAUAUUGUGGAGGUAAGCGGAAUAUGUCAUGUAGCGGUGAAAUGCUUAGAUAUGACAUAGAACACCAAUUGCGAAGGCAGCUUACUACACAGUUAUUGACGCUGAGGCACGAAAGCGUGGGGAUCAAACAGG